AACCACACCAGUCGCCAUGUUGGGAGACCAGAGUCAGUGUGGUGGAAGUCCUCCAAUUGUCCAUAUAGCUGGCUGGGUUUUGCUACCAACGGAAACUUCGAAAAGAUUGCCCAUUAUUUCGUUUUUCUAAGGACCCAGAAAAUGGAGGAAGUGGGAGAACCUAUUAAAGUGAUCCACCUUCCCUGUGGCUAUCUCUUCUCCUGUAGCUCCAAGGCAUAGCGAUUUGUUCUCCUCCACUAUGUUUCUGUCAGAAACAACUUGACGCACUCUGCCUCAGAGGGAGGACGGCAAGUGGCUUUGCGCUUUUAGCUGGGACUCAUCAAAGAGAACAGCAGGUUCAGGAUGGGUGAAAUGGCUGGCAGUGUUCCAGCUACUGCAGACCUGCUGUACUUCACCCACUGUUGGCCUGCCUCCAUCACCAUCACCAUCUUCAGAUGGACCUGGGACUUCGUCGGUGGGCAAGGGGUCCUCAGAUUCAGCGUUCUUGAAGGUCACAAGUUUGGAGAGCAGCUCCUCACUGUCACUGACAUAAUCUGAUUCCUCACUGUCAUACUCCGAAUCAUUGUCCGAAUUUACAAAAAUCUCCUGAAUUUCCACAUUUGUGAGUUGUCUCCUUUUGAAAUAGAUGUAUAAUUCUACAGCUUACCGCACUAGCUACAUAAACAACAAUACAAUGGCUCCAAGUGAGUGUCAGGGGUGACGUGAUUGGCUGCCGGUGUGGUGAUAAUGAUGAUUUGUUUCCCAGAUGGUUUGUUUACAUAGCAGGUUAGGAUAAUUAACAUGGCAGGUUAGGACAAUUAACGCAGCAGGUUAGGUGAAUUAAUGUAGGAUGUUAACCUCGUUAUCUUAAGGUUAGGAAAAGGGUUAGGGUUAGGCUUAGCUAAAAUGCUACAGUUGUCAACAACUGCCCCUGACGCGACCACUAGACAGAGCUGUUGUAGGCCUAGCUACUCCAUCUAACCACAACGGUAAAGAUGUAAACAAACCGUUUGUGUCGACAAAUCAUCAGUAUCAUAACACCGACAUUGGCCACUUUUAUCGAUAAAUCCGUUUCAGGAAAUGGUUUUAUUUACAUGUUUUCAAGUACUGGUCACAUCUUGCAUUCCAAUUUUUGCAUAGAUUGUAAUGCACACAUAAGAUGUGUGUAAAAUACUUUCUUGAAGGUUGUACUGAUUAUUAUCAGCUAUUGCUAAGCUAUUUGCCGGCUAUGUGUGGAGCCAUGUUUGAUGUCAUUCAAUGCAUUCUGGGUGUCUGUCAGACCAAAGAUGUUAUACCAAAACAAGGUGAAGGGAUGGUUCUCAUCUUUAAACUUCCAGAAGUGAAUGGCUGGGAAGUGAAUGAUGCUAGAUGAAACACCCCCUUCGCCUUCAAAAUUCAUACUCAGACCCAACUCAGCUUGUCACCUCGUGCUUUUACACCUGCAUUGUUUGCUGUUUGGGGUUUUAGGCUGGGUUUCUGUACAGCACUUUGAGAUAUCAGCUGAUGUACGAAGGGCUAUAUAAAUAAAUUUGAUUUGAUUUGAUUUCUUAUCUUUGGUUGAUGCCGAAAAACGAACAUGGCGGGAUUACUUUAGACUUUUAGAAACUCAAUUAUUUUGAUAUGUGAUGAACUGUAAAUAGUCAUUUAUAUUAGCUAAUUCAUAUUAUGGUUUCUAUCAGCUGAGAGUUGACCUAAUAUGACUGCUUGUGUUAGCUCAAUCUUUCCUCAGUUAGCGCUAGGACUGAUGUACUGUAUCCAAUAUUUUCCAAUUUGGAUGAGAAUUGUGUUAUGUCGUUUCUACUUCUGCGAAUGUCUGAAAAUUGCAUCCAAAAAUAAACUGCUCACAUUGAGGACAUAA